rnacentral:rRNA from 1 species
AUGGGCCUAGGCACUGUUGCAGCGAUGUGGUCUUAUCUCUGUCAGCGCUAUCAGCCCUCUGGUGAUGCUCUUUACUUAUCUGUGGUGCGUGAGGAGCAUGCUCUUCAGCAGGGUGACUCAUCUGUUGAUGAGUUCUACACACAGAGUUCUGCCAUCUGGCGCCAGCUUGACUCUCUUCGGACUGUUGUUUGUGGAUCUUGCCGCUGCUGUCAGACUAUACGGUCCGACUUGGAGUUUCAGCGUGUCCAUGAGUUCUUAUCUCGCCUCCGCUCCGAGUUUGAGCCUCGACGUGCUCACUUGCUUGCUCGUGGUCGUGUUCCUAUCUCGGAGGUACUUGCUGAGCUUCGUGCUGAGGAGACCCGCCUUCGUUCAGCUGGGUUGCUUGCGGUUCCUUCUGUGUUGGCUGCCCGAGCUCCUGUGUCAUCUGCUCGUCCCAGUGCUCCACCGUUACUGCCCACACCUUCAGGGGGGUGGGUCGCCCUCCUUAUGUUGAGAAGGGUCGGUCGCGCCGUGACACUUUCUGUGACUACUGCUCCAGGCCGGGUCACCCAGAGUCUGACUGUCGUCAGAAGCAGCGAAACCAGAGGCGCUCCUAUUCCAGUGGGACUCCUGUGUCGUCAUCGACUCCGUCACUCACUGACCAAGACAUUGUGCGGCUCAAGCGCCUUCUGGCUUCCUCUGGUUCUUCAUCGACGGGCUCUGCUACUGCUGUGA